GGUGCUACUGCUCGCAGAGCACCUGCCCCGCCGGGUAGCAGCCUCUUUAAGAAACCCAGCCGCAGGCAGGCCCGCCUGACGCUCACGUGACCCGACUCAGCGCAGUCGCUUCCGGAAGUGGUCCAGCCUCCGCGGAGGGCGCGGGGUCUCCGGACGCCCCGCGGGGCGGGCAGGCCGAAGUGGGCACCGCCGGGGCCGCCUGGAGCUUGUCGCCGGGAUGGUACAGCUCUACAACCUGCAUCCGUUCGGGUCGCAGCAGGUGGUGCCGUGCAAGCUGGAGCCCGAGCGGUUCUGUGGCGGAGGAAGCGACGUGCUAUUCGCGGCGGCAGGAUGCAAGGUGGAGGCAUUCGCCAUAAUGGGCCAGGAACUGUGUCAGCCGAGGUGCGCCUUCUCCACGCUGGGCAGGGUGCUGCGCCUGGCCUACAGCGAAGCCGGAGACUAUUUGGUAGCAAUUGAAGAGAAAAACAAAGCUACAUUUGUACGUGCUUAUGGGAAUUGGAGAAGUAAAAGGACUGAAAACUCUCGAGUGUGUAUCCGAAUGGUUGGACAUACUGUGGAAUCACCCUUCAGCGAAACCUUCAGAGACCAGAUGUCUAUUGUUGAAAUGCCGCUUUCUGAGGCCCCCUUGUGCAUUUCUUGUUGCCCUGUGAAAGGAGACCUUCUUGUUGGCUGCACAAAUCAGUUAGUCUUAUUUAGUUUGAAGUAUCAGAUCAUUAAUGAGGAAUUCUCAGUAUUGGACUUUGAACAUUCUUUAGUUAUACACAUAGAUAAUAUCACUCCUGUUGAAGUUUCUUUUUGUGCUGGAUAUGUUGCUGUCAUGUCAGAUUUAGAAGUCUUAGUCCUGAAACUGGAGUCAGACCCCAAAAAUGGAGAGAGUAUUAACUAUCCACGUAAGACGAACAAUCCAAUGAAACAGACAAAAGGUAUCAGUAAUGAAACUUUGCCACCUGAGUCAGAUGAUUUUGUCUUCUGCCAAAAGCCCAUAGAACUUCUUGGUGAAAAAAGUGAACAGUCUGGAGUAUCUGUUAGACUGGAGUCAACAGGAUUAGCUGAAGAAAAAAUAAAAUAUUUCCAUGUUCAGCACCUGCUCUAUAAACGUUUUGCUCCUGAUAUUUCAUCCUGUGUCUUGUCUGAUGACAUCAAGUUGCAUUCACUUCAGCUGCUACCCAUUUACCAAACAAGCUCUCUUACUUCUGUUAGAAAAAAUUCAUGUCAGGAAAAAGAGUUGCUGAGUCUGUUUUGUUUUUUCUCAUUACCUCAUGUGGGCUAUCUCUACGUGGUUGUCAAAUCUGUUGAGUUAAUAUCAGUUUACCAAUAUCCUGAGAAGUCUCAACAGGCAGUGCUCACGCCACAAUUUUUGCAUGUCAUCACAAGUAACAGCCUGCAGUGUUUCACAGUGCGGUGCAGUGCAGCGGCCGCUCGGGAGGAGGACCCGUAUGUGGACACCACCGUGAAGGCUUGCCCACCUGUCAGUAUGGAUGUCUGUGCAUUAAGAAUACAGCUUUUCAUAGGUUUGAAAGCCAUCUGUCACUUUAAAAACCAUGUCAUACUUUUGACCAAGGCAGACCCUGAGGCCAGUCCAGAGAGAAGAAAGUCGCCCAAGAGGCUUCCUUCUAGAAAAGGUACCAGUGUUAAGCUCAAAACAUCUCCUGUAGCUGAGGCUGGGUGGAAUUUGUAUAUUGUGAAUACGAUCUCACCAGUGCAACUAUACAGAGAAAUGGUAGACUACAGUAAUACCUACAAAAAUGCAAAAACCCAGAGCUGUAUCCACCUACUUAGUGAGGCUCAUCUGUUAGUGAGAGCUGCUCUGAUGGAUGCCAGUCAGUUGGAACCUGGAGAAAAAGCAGAGCUUCUAGAAGCAUUUAAAGAAAGCUGUGGGCACCUUGGAGACUGUUACAGCCGGCUUGACACCCAGCACUCGCACCUUGCCUUGCCAUACUAUAAGAUGUCUGGUUUGUCUAUGGCUGAAGUUUUGGCUCGAGUGGACUGGUCAGUAGAGGAUGGAUCACAGAAAUACGAAAGGGGAUUAAUCUUUUACAUUAGUCAUUCACUUUAUGAAAACCUGGAUGAAGAAUUAAGUGAAGAAUUAGCAGCAAAAGUGGCUCAGAUGUUUCAUGUGGCUGAGCCAAAGCAACUGCCCCAUGUUCUCUGUAGUCCUUCUAUGAAGAAUAUUAAUCCUUUAACUGCCAUGAACUAUCUAAGGAAGCUGGAUAUUUCUGGGUUUUCCUCGAUCUUAGUGACACUGACCAAAGCAUCAAUGGCUCUGAAAAUGGGAGAUCUUGACAUGCACAGAAACGAGAUGAAAAGCCAUUCAGAGAUGAAGUUCGUAUGUGGCUUCAUUCUGGAACCUCAGCUGUUAAUUCAACACAGGAAGGGACAGAUUGUUCCAACUGAGUUUGCAUUUCACUUAAAGGAGGCUCAGCCUGGAUUGCUUGUGGCUUCAGUCCUGGGCUUACAGAAAAACAACAAAAUUGGAAUUGAAGAAGCAGAUUCCUUCUUUAAGGUGCUUUGUGAUAAGGAUGAAGAUAGGAUUCCUCAGCUCUUGGUAGACUUUUGGGAAGCUCAGCUGGUGGCAUGCCUCCCAGACGUGGUACUUCAGGAGCUCUUUUUCAAGCUGACGUCACAGUACAUCUGGAGGUUAUCUAAGAGGCAGCUCCCUGAUACCAUACCAUUGCGGACAUCAGAGGAUCUGAUAAAUGCCUGUAGUCAUUAUGGCUUAAUCUCUCCAUGGGUUAAUGUCUUAAUAUCAUCCAAUAACUUAGCUGAUCAUAAUUAUACAGAAGACCUUUCAAAAUUACAGUCUCUUAUAUGCAGUCCUUCAUUUGACAUAGCUUCCAUUAUUCCGUUCUUGGAGCCACUGUCAGAGGACACAGUUGCUGGCCUCAGUGUCCGUGUUCUGUGUCGUACACGUUUGAAAGAGUAUGAACAGUGCAUAGAUACGCUCUUAGAGAGAUGCCCAGAGGCAAUCAUUCCAUAUGCUAAUUAUGAACUGAAAGAAGAGAAUCGGAUAGACUUUGUGGUGGAAAAAACUGCUGCCUGAACUUUGUCAGAGAAUAAAAUGUGGUGGAGAGAAAUACCAUCUUUACCUGUCAUCAUUAAAAGAAACAUUGUCAACUGUUGCUGUGGAACUAGAACUAAGGGAUUUCUUGAAUGUCCUCCCAGAAGAUGGCACUGUAGCAUUUUUCUUGCCAUACCUUCUUUACUGCAGUAGAAAGAAAUAACUGACUUAAAGGUAUCAUUUGAAAAAUACCACAAUACCAUGUGAGACUGAAUUUUUAAAGUUCAAUAGCAGGUAAAAUAAAGGAUUUUCAAAUUGAAUAUAUACAUAUAUUAAAAUGCUUUCAGGCAGCUUACCUUACCAUGUAAUGGUAUUAUUAGUUUCUUAAUUUAUGACCUGAAUCCAUUUAAUUGUCCAGAAUGUAAAAAAGCUAUAAGACAUAAGAAUUUCCUCAAAUAAGGCAUCUAUUUUUAAGGUAGAGACUGGUUUUUAUUCCAAGGAACAUCAAUUCACUGUUUUGGGAGACUUGACAAUAUUUUUUGUCCCAGAAACACAAGGAAACAUUUUUUAAGUAUGUUUGAAAGAAUGUCACAGAAUUUAAUCUUCCUGAUUUUUCCAGAUUUCUCUUUUGGGUCACUUUUUAAAAAUACCAUUUUCUUUGAGAAAGAUGUUAAAGGUUUCCCACAGUAAGGGAUUUCAAACUUUAAUUUCUUGUUACAUUUAAAACUCAUGCUGUUUCUCUCUGAAUCAAAUGAAGUAGAAGUAUACAAAGCUAACUUUCUUAUCUGGCUAUUAACAUAAUUUGUUGAAUGUAUGUUUUCCAGCCAGCCUUGAUUCUGUUCUUUGUUUUGUACUCUGCUCUUUUAGCUAGAGUAUAUGUGAAAGUAAAUAAAUAUAUCAUUGUAUUCACAACUAUGUCUUCUUUUUAAUCUCUUAUUUAAAAAUUUUGAAUCCAAGUUCAGCCAAUUGACAGGGUGCCUUGACUUUAGUCAAGGCUGGGCAGAAAUGCCAUUCCCCUAGUGUCUGUCAUAACUGUGUUUUGAAACUUUUCCCUGGUGGCAGUGUUCAUCUUCACCAGAAGUUAACCUAUCAAACUGUUUCUAAAUUGUGUCUUUCUCCAGUUUCAGAUUAACACCCUUUUGACCAUCUCUUCAAGGGUUCACAAAACUCAGAUUGGUAUUUUUAUUUUAUGUCAUUAAAAUUUUUUUUAAAUUAUUUAUUUUUAAAUUUAUUUUUAUUUUUUAAUUUAAUUUUUUAUUUUACUUCCUCAACACCUGUGCCUUUUGCCCACUGGUUCAUUAAAAAUGAUGUCAGCAGCAUGUUGGAGGAAUUGAUGGGAAGCCAAUGGUUGGAAACGUUUCAACGAAUCUUAAUAAUGGUCCUUAUCCUUUGAGCACCAUCAAGGAUAACAUACAUAUAUAUAUAUAGUGUGUGUGUGUGUAUGUACAUGCGUGUGUGUGUGAAUAGUUUGUAAAGCCAUAAUCAUGGUGAUGUGAGUGGCUUAUGUGAAUUAAUUAUAUUACCUAGUGUAUUAGAUCAGUCAUAAUAUAGUCUGUUGAUCUUUUCAUAUGAAACAAGGUAACACCGUUUCCCCAACAGAUGCACAGAAGUGUGUUUUCAUUCUUUUUUAAUGUUUAUAGCCAUUCAAAAAUAAACAUUCUAUUCAGCACUUCACAUACAGUGUGUAUGAAUCAUUUUUUUUCUUUUUUUCACUUAUCACCAAAUUAUUUCUUUCAGCCAGACUUGGUCUCUAUAGAAAAA